rnacentral:tRNA from 1 species
GUCAGGAUGGCUGAGUGGUCUAAGGCGCUGCUUUAAGGUCGCAGUCUCCCCUCAAGGCGUGGGUUCAAAUCCCACUUCUGACA